UCUCCUGAGGUAGACGGUAAAGCGAAACGAAAAGCACAAUCCUUCCCGCGCCUAGCCUCAAAAUACCUAACGGCCGGACUCACGAUAAAUUCGUAAGGGUUAGCAAACGUGCUUCGACAGAUGUAUAAUGAUAGUGAGGCAGCUAAAGCCAGUUCCCUCGUCCCCCUGUGAGGGGAGAUCUCUGCCUCAAACAGCGUUGCUAUCUACGCGCGGAGACGGCCCAAGUCUCUCCAAUAGCCACAGGGAAUACGAUGGAAAAGCGUCCUGCAUAUCCUACUGGUAUGAAAGAGAAAGAAACGCAAACCUCGAAACCACGCCCGGUGCCGCCCCCUCCUCCUCCCUGCUCCCAAUGCCGGACCUGACCCCGCUGCUAGAGAGGAGACCUCCCCGCCGCCUUUGGGAAACAAUCUGUUGUAAUCAGCUUUGUCUGUGGACCGUCAUUGGAAAAUACUGAAUGGAAACCAAUGUGUGCUGAAUCUGGGUCAGUGAUUUGGCAAUGGUCUUCCAGUGUUCUUGUGGACAGACUUGCAUACAGGUCUGAAUUUUUAUUUCAGUUUUCAAUACGGGGAAACAUGAAUGUCACAUGAAGAAAAAGGCGGUCUAUGGCUUACUUAUACCUUCAGAGUUAACCAGUUUGCAUACUUAAGAACUGCUUAUGUAAAAAUGCAUCUAGUUAAGAAUGAACACCAGAGAAAUGCUGUGGUAGACACAGGCUUCCCGUCAUGUUGGCUUCCUGUUUAAAAAACAGUAGGCUGGCAAUUUUAGAGGGACAGCGACAAAGUGAUGACCAGGUGCCAAGUGCCAGCUGCCCUUAUUCACCAAAUUGAAGAAGAAUUGGAUAAAGAAGAAGAAGAGAUGAUGGUUUUCCUGUGCAGAGAUCUUGCUCCUGACUUGGCCACUGCCGACCUUAGAGAGCUUUUGGUGGCUUUGAAUGAGAGGGAGAUACUGUCUUUUCUUGGCUUGUCUGAGCUGCUAUACAGAGUUAAGAGGUUUGACUUAUUGAGGAGGAUCUUGAAGACUGAGAAGGCAACAGUGGAAGCUAACCUUGCCAGGAGUCUCAGACUUGUCCCUGAUUACAGAGUGCUAAUGGUAGAGCUUAAUGAGAAUCUGGAAAAAGAAGAAGUGAAUUCUCUAGUUUUUCUACUCAGAGAUUACGCACCUCGAAUGAAAAUGGCAAAAGAUAAGAGUUUUCUAGCUCUUGUGAUUGACCUGGAGAAACUAAAUUUGGUGGCUCCUAAUCAACUGGAUUUGAUAGAAAAUUGUUUUCAAAAUAUUCACAGGAUAGACCUGACUAGGAAGAUUCAGAAGUACAAACAUGAAGCUUUAAUGUCCACCAUUCAUUCUCAGCCAGUAUAUGUAAAUGCACUUCAGGCAUCUCUCCCUAAUCUCAGUCUGAUUGAUCCUCCUAAUAAUUUAGGGGUCCAGAAUGUGAGCAAAGAAAAAACACAGAAUGGACAAAGUUUUAUUCUGGCGGAACCAGUCCACGUGUCCAUCCAGGAAUCAGGACCAGUGUCACAUAAGGUGUAUGAUGAUCAAUACAGAAUGCAAAGUCAACCUUUAGGAAUAUGCCUGAUAAUAGACUGUAUUGGCAAUGACACAGAUUUGUUGGAAGAUACCUUCAGAGACUUAGGCUAUGACGUUCGUUGUCACAGAUAUUUAAACGUGAAUACUAUGAAUCAAACGUUGGUUGAAGUCGCAAGGUUGCAGAAGCAUAGAAAUUGUGACAGCUUCAUUUGCAUAUUGGUCAGCCGUGGAAGUCCUCGGAGCAUCUUCUGUACAGACCAUACCUUUUCUGGAUUCCCCUUGGAACAAAUAAAGAAAUACUUUACAGCAGACUCAUGUCCUGAACUCCUAGGAAAACCGAAGCUUUUUUUUAUUCAGAGCUACAUUGUGCCAGAAAAUGAGCAAGAAUGUACUAGUCUGUUGGAAGUAGAUGGGAAUGAUGAGAAAAUCAUUAGUAAUGCAAAAAUCCCUUGCAAAGUCACUAUCCCCUCGGUAGCAGACAUCUUCUGGAGUCAGUGCAAGGUGGAUGUGUCUACACUAGAAAAAUCUCCAAGUUCAUCCUCAUAUUAUCUACGUUGUCUGGCUGAGCUACUCCGCAAUCCUCAUAAAAGGAAACUCUCUAUAUUAGAUAUCCAUACGGAACUGAAUGACAAAGUCUAUGAAUGGAAUAAGACCACUGACCCAAGCCAACAAUACUCACUUCUGCUCGAGCACACACUGAGGAAGAAACUUUUUCUUUGUCCCACUUAACUGCUGUUGGAAAGGACACGUCUGAAGUGUCUUACAAGAAACAUUUACUAUGAUUCAGACAGUUUGACAAACACUUUUAUUUUAUGCAUUGUUAUUGCAUGUAUAUCUAAAAUUCCUCACGCUUCCAAAUCCAGGGAUUUAGAAGCAUUUUGGUGUGUUAAGGCACUAGACUUUAUAUUUUAAUACAGAACGUUCUGAAAGAUUGGACGAGAAUGGCAGCUAUCGUAUAGCACUGCGACAGAUCUUAGAACCAAGUACAAAAGGUAAACAGUGUAAAAAAACUCUAAACUGUAUAGCUACUGUUUUUUACAUGGGUUUGUGGUUUUGUUUCACUGGUGUUUUUUUAGCAUGAUUAUUAGUAGUACACGGAUCUAGGGUUUUUUAUUGAUGCAUAAAACAAAUACAAGCCAGUGCAAAACACUGAAAUUCACUGUGUACUUUCCCCAGAACCUCAUAAUGGAAAAUGUGUCAGGAAGGAGUGCCUGCCCAGCAAAGCUGGUUCUUCAUUAACAGGUUCUGGCUUGCGUGCUUCCUCAGACUAGUGAAACAGUAGGAGAGAUGGUCUUUUAAAUAAUUUGGAUUCCAUCUAUCUACUGCAUUAGAAGUUGUGAUUCACCCUCAUGACAUCAGUGCUGUUGUCAGCACUAAAGGGUAUAUGUUAAUAAAUGAGAAAGUGCUAUGUUUUGGGCGAGCUAUGCUUUCCACUAAUGAAAAAUGAAUCUACAUGCGGCAAGGCAUUCCAGUAAUCUACCACACGGCUAAAAAAAUGUGCGAUUUUGGCAGAUGUUUUGUGGAAGCUGAAACAUGAUUCAAACUUGUUGCACCAGGCACAGUUGUACACGUUAUGAUAUUUGAACUGUGUCAUGUGGCAGCCACUGGCUCCUAAAACUGGAUUAAAUUUAACACGCCACACUCACCGCUUUUGCUUAUGAAAAAUUGUAUGUCUUUAUUAAUUGAUUAUUAUUUUUUUCAAGUUGCCCUCAUUCUUCUGAAAAAGACAUAAGUGAAAAUUGUCCUAAAUACAGAAAUUUUUCUCCAGGGGAGCAGAUGCCUAGCAUGAAGAGUUCAGUUAACAUGCUUGUUAUACAACAGUAUAACCUGGAUGAGGUGUAUUGGCAUUUAUUGUCACUGAAUGUAUGGCAUUCUGUUCCCUCCUGACUCAGGCCACUUGCAAAUUUUUAAUACUCCUAAUACAGUCUCCUAUCCAGGAAAAAAAUUCAAGGCCUUGGCAUACCUUGCUUGGUUUCUGCUGUAGCUACACCAUACAUCCUUCUAGCAUGCAUUUCAUGCAAGCAGAAAGGAAAGGAAUUUUUGCUGAUACAGGGUAUUGUUGAUAUCUUUAUAUGCAAAUAUACUGCAACAAGAUUUUUUGGUAGUGUAGUUGCACUUGAUUUGAGUAAAAAUCAGGUGUGCUUACACAUAUAUAACUUCAGCAACAAUGCUUUUCAUUGUAGACCAAGUCUAACAGGCAACUAGCAUAUUGAUUCUACAGAUUGUAUACUAUAGGUAUACGUUAGUAUGUUGAUAAGAAUUAGGAGGGCUUAGCCAGUAAAUUUACUCCGGUAGCAGUGGCUUUUUAUUCCUUGAUAUUAUGUUGUACUUCUUAGGUGUUGGCUCGACAUCAUUGUUAUUAACUUUUUUUCUUUGAAACCAGGCUUCUUAAUUCAGAGGAAAAAAAAAAUUCAUGUGGCUUCUAUAACUGAAAGUAAAAAUCACUUUCAUUUGGAAAGGAGUAGAUAUCAAAGUCUAAAAAGUGCUCAUUAGUCCUUCCUUGUUAUAUGAUGUCUCUUCCUGGCGUAAGAGGUUCCUAAACUGCUGAUUGAUGAGGAUACCAACUGGAGAAGUAUACCAAGAGGAGAAACCCAUUGAACAAGUUUAUAUUCUUUAUCCAUAUAAAAUCUUUUACACGUGAUGAGUACUUCUACUGCCUUGCAGACAACCAAAAACAGGGAGAGUGGAAUCAAGAGGAGACAGAGAGAUGAGGGAAAGAAAUGUGGAAAUUUCAAGCAGGAACAAGAAGGGUAACAGUAGGGAGAACCAAGAGAAGAACAAGUAGGGAAGAGGAGAUUUGGAGAAGAAAUACAGCAUUGGUAUUGGAAGGACAAAGAAAAAAAGAGGAGAAAGGAAGUCAUAGGAACUGUCUGUUCUUGCUGUACUGUGGACCUAAAAUUCGAAUCUGGAAAAUGACUGGAUGCAGCGUCUGGGUUGCAUUAAGUUGUUCAUGUAUUGCAAAUAGAGUGAUUGAAUGAUACUAAACUUCUGUUCAGUUGCCAAAAGGGUGGAAAUAAUUAAUUCGGGAUCCGUUAUGAGUUUAGGGUAUUAGCACAGGAACAUAAAAAGUAACAUGCUGGUGAAAUUUCGUGGUCAGGAACUGCCAAAAUGUCUAGUUUUCAGAACCUGCUGUUGAACAAGAUAAAACAAGCCACUCCUCCUCUGCUCCUGUGUUGUCAGUGCUUGGAACAAGGCUGUCAGACUCAUUGCUCCAUGACAUUGAAUUUCAGUUUUGCUUUCUGAUAACUGAAAUAAACAUUUGCUGUACUUCUGUAUGUACUUCUGUAUAUGGAAGAGGAAAUAGAGAAUUGGCAGAAUAUAGAUGAUGCCUUUCAGUGGCUCAGGUGGUCUACCCAUGAGGCAGGAGAUUCUGUGGUGUUUUGUACCAGACUUAAUUCUCUCAGCCACCUACAUUAACACGACUAAGUCAUAAAUCCAGUUAACUUUGUACUGUGACAUACUUGUGUCUUACAAUGGCUGCCAACUCAUUAUCCAGGAAAGAAAUUAGGUUCAAGGGGAAGUUCUGGUGCUAACAGUUGUAGAUGGGAGUAUCCUGUAUGUCUUAUUCACCCUUCAACUCUGCAUAAGAAUUAAGAGUGACUGACUUCUGUCACAGGUACCUGAGUCAGAGAAGCUUUUUAUGACAGUUUCUGGUAAUUCUUUUCUGUUAUCUAUAGUUCUACAUUUCUGACAUGCAGAAGGAUGUUGCUGAGAAGUGGCCAUCUGUGUGUAUGAUCUGCUGCCGAUCUGACUAUGUUCCAUUUGAACUGUAUCUCCUGUACUAAAUUAUUUGGCAGCUUUUCUGUGGCUGUUUUGGAGAAUUUUUUCAGUUUCUGUAUUAGAAUCGAUAUUAAUUCUCUAGUAUAAUUGGUAUUAGAAUUGCAAAUGUUUUAGGAAUUCUGUUGUGGUGGAUUGUACCUUUCUGUAAAUGCCAUAUUUUCAAAUUUGUGCUACUCUGAGACUGUAUUCUUAGUGUUUUGUAGAAACAUCAUAAGAAAUGUGAUCUGAAUCAGUGCCGUUGCUAAAAUAGCAUCUUGAUUUAGCAAAAUUGGUGCUGUUACUGCUGCCACUAAAUCACUAUUAUUACCUAAAUUACAAUUGCUGGGUUUUAAGUGGAUUUUCUAAGAAAAUUUCUGCAUUGCGGCCAGACUGAUUGUCCCUGUCCCGCUCUAAACCAGAGAAUGAACUCUUGGAAUUCUUGGUCGACCCAUCUUCUAACACCUCUACGGUUUGUUAAAUUUGCCGACCAAAACAAUGUUUGCCAAAAAGUCCGUUAGAAAUGUUUGGGGCUCUUUUGCGAUGUAGCCUGCUUUAAAAUGGCUUGACAACAAAA